rnacentral:rRNA from 1 species
GAUGAACGCUAGCUACAGGCUUAACACAUGCAAGUCGCGGGGCAGCAUGUCGGUUGCUUGCAACCGAUGAUGGCGACCGGCGCACGGGUGAGUAACGCGUAUCCAACCUGCCCUUCACCACGGAAUAAUCCAGUGAAAAUUGGUCUAAUACCGUAUGAGGUCAUACGAUGGCAUCAGAAUAUGACGAAAGGUUUAGCGGUGAAGGAUGGGGAUGCGUCUGAUUAGCUUGUUGGUGGGGUAACGGCUCACCAAGGCGACGAUCAGUAGCCGGUCUGAGAGGAUGAACGGCCACAUUGGAACUGAGACACGGUCCAGACUCCUACGGGAGGCAGCAGUGGGGAAUCUUCCGCAAUGGACGAAAGUCUGACGGAGCAACGCCGCGUGAACGAUGACGGCCUCGGUUGUAAGUU